rnacentral:rRNA from 1 species
GGAAACGAUGAUAGCUUGCUAUCAGGCGUCGAGAGGCGGACGGGUGAGUAAUACUUAGGAAUCUACCUAGUAGYYSSSGWUAGCUCGGGGAAACUCGAAUUAAUACCGCAUACGACCUACGGGAGAAAGGGGGCAGUUUACUGCUCUCGCUAUUAGAUGAGCCUAAGUCGGAUUAGCUAGAUGGUGGGGUAAAGGCCUACCAUGGCGACGAUCUGUAGCUGGUCUGAGAGGAUGAUCAGCCACACCGGGACUGAGACACGGCCCGGACUCCUACGGGAGGCAGCAGUGGGGAAUAUUGGACAAUGGGGGAAACCCUGAUCCAGCCAUGCCGCGUGUGUGAAGAAGGCCUUUUGGUUGUAAAGCACUUUAAGCAGUGAAGAAGACUCUUCGGUUAAUACCCGGWKWCKWUKWCAUUAGCUGCAGAAUAAGCACCGGCUAACUCUGUGCCAGCAGCCGCGGUAAUACAGAGGGUGCAAGCGUUAAUCGGAAUUACUGGGCGUAAAGGGAGCGUAGGUGGCUCGAUAAGUCAGAUGUGAAAUCCCCCGGGCUCAACCCUGGGAACUGCAUCUGAUACUGUUGAGCUAGAGUAUGUGAGAGGAAGGUAGAAAUUYCCAGGYGUAGCGSUGAAAUGCGUAGAGAU